CAAGUAUGCAGGUGGCGCUAUUGUUUUUCCUCCGUGUUCUGUGAUGGCGGUCGUAUGUGCGGGGUGCUACGAGCGUCGCGUUUGCUUGAUCGUCUGUUUUUGUGUUUGCUGUUAUGAAGUAGGUCGCAGUUAGCGUGCACAGAAGUGCCUGAAGAUACCUUGUGUCAUGCUGCAAACUCGCCGUAUGCGUGGCGCGCCAGGCAAAUGUGGCCCAACGAUUUUAUGCCGUGGAGUGCGGUCUCUUUGUUCUCGUUCUGGAAAGUUAGGUGGACGUCGCAAAGAAAUAAUGUGUGUUAGCGCGCCUCAGCUCGUCCACUACGCAGCGGCAUGUAUGCGGGGAGUAACAUCGUCGACGCAGCACCGGCAACUUGGAGAGCGCUUCGCGACCGCGUCGUACCAUUCAAAAGUGGCGAGGCUGUGACCCAUAACAGUGCCCACAUAACGGAGGAGCCACCAGACCCCUUGGCCAUGCCUGCCGUAGUGCAACGUGUAAUCUGGAUGGUCGGGUCAGGUACACCUAGGAAAUGUUGUAUACAUUGGCAACGAUAACUGGGGCCUGCUCCAGUGCCAUCGCCGGGAUUCCCUGUUCUGCAAAGAACUGGCAUAACUGAUGUGGGGAGCCCUGGCGCUCGGCGUAGGAGCGUCACAGGGGCUCCUUGUCGGUGCUUGAAGGACGGCAGUGCUGUUGAGAAGCCGACAUUGAGCCCCGAUAAAUUGGAAGCUGUGGGUAGUUACCGCAUUAUUGGCUUGGAAACUAGUGAAGUCUGGAUGCAAGUGAAGCUACCGAGGGAGGCAUGUGUGCAUCACUUGUGCUGCUGGCCAUCCUCUGCAAAAGUGAUGGCUGGCUGUCAGUGCUUGGAUGACUUUCUGUUACUCUACGCCUUGGGCUGUGUUGACUACUUCACACUUGCUGCCAUGUCUGCAAGUUACUGUGUUGUGUUGUUGGUAUGUUACUGUGUUGUGUUGUACAUUACAAAGUGAAGCAGGACAGUAUUUGUGCUUUUAUUAAGAAGUAUAAAUUGUGUUCUGCCAUUGAAAUAAGGGAACUCGACAAAAAGCAAGAAAUUUCGAAGUCUGACCUACAUGGGAAAGCAAAAUAUAUUGUGUUGUAGUUGUAGCUGUUAGUAGAGUCUUAAUAUGCGAUAGAAGACCUUGAUGUUUAAUAGAAAAUAUAUUUAAGUGUGUUAUCAGUGUGUUAUCAGUUUUUAAGUUACUGUUAUAUAAGUGUCAUUUGUUUGCCAGGAUGAUGUAAGCAGACAGUAAAUAAAUGCAUGGUUUGACAUUAUAACCAGGUUUGUCUAUGGCAUUCACUAUUAUUUAAGUUGGACCAAUGCAUAUUCAUGGGUGCAUAUUCAACCACCACAUAUUCCUCCUGCACAAACAAUUCCUACAUACUAGCGUUUGUUCUUAGCAGCUGAUGUUGGCUAUUAUGCAAUUUCUUGAAAGCACAUGCAGCUACCGACACAUGAUUUUUAGAGCAGUAAGUCGGAAGCAAAGACUGAUUUUUUUCUGUGGUCUAAGCUUAAAUGAUAUGUUUAAGGAAAUGAACAUUUGUGGAAUAUAUUUACUUUCCUGCUGCGAGAACCUUUAUACGAGAACCUCUGCACAUUGGACGUGCAUGCUGCUUCUCUUGCUGUUAUAGCCAAAAUGAAAAAUUGUUCUUAUGAACCACUUCGCAGCUUUGCAUUGUGCACUUUUACUUGCAGUUAGCAUUUAUAUGCUUGCUAUGGACAACAGCAAGACAAGUCAGGCAAACCACCAUGUGAAACACUUUAAAGAUUCUGGCUUAGGGCGCGUUGGUACUAUAUAUAGUGCAAGACAGAUGAGCUGCCUGUACAGCAGCGCUGUCAGCAUUACACGGCUGACAGCACCGCAAACCCUUAAAUUUAUAUUUGUUUGACAGAUAAUGCAUUCUAGUAGU